GGACUACUGGGGUAUCUAAUCCCGUUCGAUUCCCACGCUUUCGUGUCUCAGCGUCAGGAGCGCGCCAGUAGAGUGCCUUCGCAUUUGGUGUUCCCCAUAAUAUCAACGGAUUUCACCCCUACACUAUGAGUUCCCUCUACCUCUCGCGCCCUCAAAGUCGUGCCGUUUCUCCUGCGUUUUCUGGGUUAAGCCCAAAAGCUUUGACAAAAGACUAACACGACCGCCUACACACCCUUUACGCCCAGUGAUUCCGGAUAACGCUCGGGGCCUCUGUAUUACCGCGGCUGCUGGCAC
rnacentral:rRNA from 1 species